rnacentral:rRNA from 1 species
GAUGAACGCUGGCGGCGUGCCUAAUACAUGCAAGUCGAGCGAACGGACGAGAAGCUUGCUUCUCUGAUGUUAGCGGCGGACGGGUGAGUAACACGUGGAUAACCUACCUAUAAGACUGGGAUAACUUCGGGAAACCGUAGCUAAUACCGGAUAAUAUUUUGAACCGCAUGGUGCAAAAGUGAAAGACGGUCUUGCUGUCACUUAUAGAUGGAUCCGCGCUGCAUUAGCUAGUUGGUAAGGUAACGGCUUACCAAGGCAACGAUGCAUAGCCGACCUGAGAGGGUGAUAGGCCACACUGGAACUGAGACACGGUCCAGACUCCUACGGGACGCAGCAGUAGGGAAUCUUCCGCAAUGGGCGAAAGCCUGACGGAGCAACGCCGCGUGAGUGAUGAAGGUCUUCGGAUCGUAAAACUCUGUUAUUAGGGAAGAACAUAUGUGUAAGUAACUGUGCACAUCUUGACGGUACCUAAUCAGAAAGCCACGGCUAACUACGUG